rnacentral:rRNA from 1 species
GGUGUUUAUUGCGAUGAGGGUCCACCUGUUCCCAUUCCGAACACAGAAGUUAAGCUCAUUUGCGCUGAAAAUACUUGGCGGGCAGCUGCCUGGGAAGAUAAGUAGAUGC